UUGCGGCCAUGUUACGUUGAACAACCGGUUCUCGUACGAUCAUUGAAGUUAAGCAACGUUGAGCCUGGCCUGAUCCUAAAAUGGAUGACCGCUUGGGAAUGACGGGUGCUGUCAG